rnacentral:rRNA from 1 species
GACGAACGCUGGCGGCGUGCCUAAUACAUGCAAGUCGAGCGGACCGAAUAGAAGCUUGCUUCUGUUCGGUUAGCGGCGGACGGGUGAGUAACACGUGGGCAACCUGCCCGUAAGACCGGGAUAACUUCGGGAAACCGGAGCUAAUACCGGAUAACACCGAAGACCGCAUGGUCUUCGGUUGAAAGGCGGCUUUGGCUGUCACUUACGGAUGGGCCCGCGGCGCAUUAGCUAGUUGGUGAGGUAACGGCUCACCAAGGCGACGAUGCGUAGCCGACCUGAGAGGGUGAUCGGCCACACUGGGACUGAGACACGGCCCAGACUCCUACGGGAGGCAGCAGUAGGGAAUCUUCCGCAAUGGACGAAAGUCUGACGGAGCAACGCCGCGUGAGCGAAGAAGGUCUUCGGAUUGUAAAGCUCUGUUGUUAGGGAAGAACAAGUACCGUUCGAAUAGGGCGGUACCGUGACGGUACCUAACGAGAAAGCCACGGCUAACUACGUGCCAGCAGCCGCCGUAAUAC